rnacentral:rRNA from 1 species
GUGCCAGCAGCCGCGGUAAUACAGAGGGUGCAAGCGUUAAUCGGAAUUACUGGGCGUAAAGCGCUCGUAGGCGGAUCUUUAAGUCGAUUGUGAAAGCCCCGGGCUCAACCUGGGAAUGGCACUCGAAACUGGAGAUCUAGAGUAUGGUAGAGGAAAGUAGAAUUCCCGGUGUAGCGGUGAAAUGCGUAGAUAUCGGGAGGAAUACCAGUGGCGAAGGCGGCUUUCUGGACCAAUACUGACGCUGAGGGGCGAAAGCGUGGGGAGCAAACAGGAUUAGAUACCCCCGUAGUCC